GGGAAGGUGGCUCAGUGGUAGAGUGCUUGCCUUGCAUACAUGAGGCCCUGGGUUCGAUUCCCCACUACCA
rfam:Dipodomys ordii contig_37361, whole genome shotgun sequence.